GAAAUUCCAAGCCUGAGAACUUGUUUUCUAGUUUGCGGACUUCUUUGUAGUAAGCGUCCAUGUUGUCUUUGUGUCAGUCCCACUCAUCAUUGACUUGGUUUAUGACGACUAGCGAGUCGCCGUAAACCAGUAGUCGUUUGAUGCCGAGGGAAAUUGUGAGGUGAAGGUCGUGUAGCAGUGCUUCGUACUCGGCUUCGUUGUUGGAGGCUUCCCAGAAGAUUUGCAGUACGUACUUGAGUUGAUCUCCCUUUGGGGAUAUGAGAAGUACGCCUGCGCCGGCUCCCUCGAGUUUGAAG
rnacentral:lncRNA from 1 species